rnacentral:lncRNA from 1 species
CAAUAAAGAAACUAAAUUAAUACUUCUGCAACUAGCAACAAGUAUUGGCCAUCAUCACAUGGAUAUUUUGGAACAACAGAACAUAAAAGAGUGGAAGACCAAACACAUCACAAGACAUUACAUUAUACACCACACCUCCUAAUUAAUUAUGAAAAAAUUGUCUUGAUUAUUGUGAAAUAUCCCCGAGUUCAAUCACUGUCUCUCCUUCGUCUACAUAAAAUAGAGAACAUCAGAAUAUUAGUAUAUGAAAUCAAGUACCAUAUCAAAAUUGUCUAAAAUACAAGAAGAUGCCAUACCCUUGUACAUGUAGGGGAGUCUCACAUCCUAGCUCAAUUCCUAGAAUGCGAUUUAUAAUAUGUUGGACAAUAAUAACAACUGAACGAAGAAAUACCAAACUAUAAUCAUUUAACAUCAGUUCAAACAUUCAACAAAACACUUUAUAUGGAGAAAGAUUAAGAAGAUACACUAUGAGUUUUCAAUGUCGAAGAACAAAUCUUGUUAGGAUCAACAACAUCAAGGUACAAAAGCUGAACAACUAUGAUGUUUGCCAUAUCAUCAUCAAUAACUCCACCACAACGAAUUAUUCUCUAAAUACCAAAACAUAUUAUUAAUACUACUAGCUAGAUUAAACAGAAGCUGAAUACUCGACCUUAAGUAACAAGAGUAUAAAUUGCCUACAUACUGGAAAAGCUGACUAUGAUUUAGAAAAUUAUUUCAACCUUCUAAAACUAUUUUAGCACCAGCACCCACUGUAAAACUAGAAUCCACGAUUACAAAAGUCAUCAUGGGAAUUAUUAUUAUAUUCGUAAUGCUAUAACUACCUUUAUCACAUAUUAAUUUUAUAAUGAUUUUACGUGUUAGUUUUUGAAAACAAUCCCAACUUAGGUUUCAAGUUCUUAAAUCCUAUGCUUAGAAAGCGUAAAGUUACACAUUUUGAACUAUUAUCUACUAACCAUUCUUUUGACUAAGAAAAAAUACAAAUUUAUCUAACAAUUAAUAUUAUAACUACUAAAAGAAGAAAUAAGUAGAAAAACCCUUUAAAAAACCCAUGUUGGAUCAUGCUGCAAUUUUGGGGUUUGGAGACUUGAUAAAAGAUAAAUUACUAACUUGCACUUUCCACUAAAAGAAAAGAUGUUAACAUUGGUGGUGGAAGCAGAAGCAAAGACAUAAUAGAAUAUUUGGAGAGUAUUAGAAUCAUGUGUCCUUCCAAUUAAAAAGUGACAUGUGCUUGCAGAAUAACGCUUUCUUAUAGUUGUUAGUCAAUUUUUCUGAAAUGGAGGAGAGAUUUAACUGUGACCAUAUAUGUGUUAUAAUUAACUAUGUUCAUGCAGUUAAAAGGGUAAGAUGAUGUUAACAUUUUAGUCUGAUAAGGUGGUGCCAACAUAUAUUUUUCAAGGAUAAUACUAUGAAUAUCCAAAUUAUGAUACUUUUGAUCCUAUACAGUUCCAGAAUUUACAUAUUAACAUAUAUAUGUUGUAGAUUGCAUGAGGCAUGACUAAGAGGUGAGUGAAGAGAUGGGGAAGAAUUUUUCAGACCUUUUAGCAGAAGAAGUAAAGGAAAAAAAAGCUGAAACUGAGGAAAAACAAAGAAAGGCAGAUUCAAUGCUUUUAGAGGCUAAGAAAAUAGCAUCUCAGUACCAAAAGGAAGCUGACAAGUGCAAUUCAGGGAUGGAGAGUUGUGAGCAGGCAAGGGAAAGAGCUGAGACAACACUUGAAAAUCAGAUGAAAGAAACUGCUUUGUAGGAGCUGAGGGCUCGCCAAAGAGGCUGGAACAAAGAUGCUUCAAAGAAAGCCUUUAAAGACACCACUAAGCCACUAAUUAAACCCUUUAAAAAUACAAAUAAUUUUCUUUAGAAAAACCCAAAAAUCAGCCACAGUAAAAGCCUCAAACAGAAAACCUCUUUUCUCCAAAACACAUCACAACCGCAAUUUCACAUGCAUCAAAUAUUCCAGUACUAAACAAGUGCAGAGGAAACUUGCAAAUCAAUCAUCUUUACCCAUCCAACUUUUAGGAAUCCAAAGAUGAUUAGCUCGUUACUCUCACAUUUUAACAAAGGGGUUAUGAAAUGGAAGCAGAAAAACAAAGAAAUAAGGAAAAACAGAUAGCCUAGUCUAGAGACUCCCUCCUCUAGAUAAAACAACCACCCUCUUAGCAUUCAAAAUUUUCAAUCAGAAAUAUAUCCAUCACACAGCACCACUUAAUACUCAUACAACCAAUAAAUUCGAUCAAGAAAGGGUUUAGCUCCUCUUACCUGAACUCCUUCCUUCCUCACAAAGCACGCACAGAAAAAGAGGAAUGAGAACCUAAGCUUGAUUGUCCCGUGACACUGAGACACACCCAUAUAUCACCAACAAACACAUUCAAGAUACUAUUUCUGGUUCACACUCAUAAACAUAGAGAGACAAAAAAAAACGAAGUGGUACCUCCAAAAUGUUUAUGUUUUGCAGUUCUGAAAAAUCUUAAGCUCGUAAGGAUGAUUGAGAGAAGGGCCGAAUUGGGUUUUACAGUUCUAAAAAUCUGAGGUUGAUGUCGAAAAAUUUUGAACUCCAGUUCUGAAAAUCUCUGAAGUUUGAUGCCGCACGCGACCUGAACUCGUAGACAAAGCUUUUGUUUAGUAAAGAAUGGAAAUGCUUCAUCGUAGCACAGAACAACGGGGAGUAGGGGCCAACCCGGCUCCAAUUCAAUCCAAGCCCA